rnacentral:rRNA from 1 species
GAGAGUUUGAUCCCGGCUCAGAAUCAACGCUGGCGGCGCGCCUAACACAUGCAAGUCGAACGGGAAAGGGGAGCAAUCCCUGAGUACAGUGGCGUACGGGUGAGUAACACGUGGGUGAUCUACCUUCGGGUGGGGGAUAACCCUGGGAAACCGGGGCUAAUACCGCAUAAGAUCGAGAGAUGAAAGCCGCAAGGCGCCGGAAGAGGAGCCCGCGGCCGAUUAGCUAGUUGGUGGGGUAACGGCUCACCAAGGCGAAGAUCGGUAGCCGGCCUGAGAGGGCACACGGCCACACUGGCACUGAAACACGGGCCAGACUCCUACGGGAGGCAGCAGUGGGGAAUCUUGCACAAUGGGGGAAAC